UACGAAGGGUGCAAGCGUUAAUCGGAAUUACUGGGCGUAAAGGGUGCGUAGGCGGUUAGUUAAGUCUGUUGUGAAAUCCCCGGGCUCAACCUGGGAACUGCGUUUGAAACUACAAGGCUAGAGUGUAGCAGAGGGGGGUGGAAUUCCACGUGUAGCAGUGAAAUGCGUAGAGAUGUGGAGGAACACCGAUGGCGAAGGCAGCCCCCUGGGUUAACACUGACGCUCAGGCACGAAAGCGUGGGGAGCAAACAGG
rnacentral:rRNA from 1 species